rnacentral:rRNA from 1 species
AUUGAACGCUGGCGGCAUGCCUUACACAUGCAAGUCGAACGGUAACAGGUCUUCGGAUGCUGACGAGUGGCGAACGGGUGAGUAGUACGUCGGAACGUGCCUAGUAGUGGGGGAUAACUACUCGAAAGGGUGGCUAAUACCGCAUGAGAUCUACGGAUGAAAGCAGGGGAUCGCAAGACCUUGUGCUACUAGAGCGGCCGAUGGCAGAUUAGGUAGUUGGUGGGAUAAAAGCUUACCAAGCCGACGAUCUGUAGCUGGUCUGAGAGGACGAUCAGCCACACUGGGACUGAGACACGGCCCAGACUCCUACGGGAGGCAGCAGUGGGGAAUUUCGGACAAUGGGCGAAAGCCUGAUCCAGCAAUGCCGCGUGCAGGAUGAAGGCCUUCGGGUUGUAAACUGCUUUUGUACGGAACGAAAAGCCCCGGGUUAAUACCCUGGGGUCAUGACGGUACCGUAAGAAUAAGCACCGGCUAACUACGUGCCAGCAGCCGCCGCCG